UCCUCCCUCCAUCUUGAGUUUUCUGAGAGUGUCUCAGAUCUAAAACUCCUCCUUUUACUUUCCAUCUUUGGAAGAGUCCAAAUCAAGAAGAAAGAGGCACCUGAUCAACCAUCAAAGAAGGAUCAGCGCAGUACUAGCAUACUGUGCUGAUUUCCUGAAGCAGGACUUCUGAUCGAGAUUCGUUGGCUCGUGUGGACGACUCCUAGAGGCCGGACGUGUGUACGGCUUACAACAUCAUCCUUAAGCCUGGAUCAGUGCGUUAGAGCAUCUAACUUGCAAGGUAAUAGAUCUGAUCUAUUGUUUAAUACAUACAUUAGAUGUGGUAUAGAAACAUGUUGAUAUGAUCAAUAUGUAGUUCAUGCUAUACUUAUAUAUUUUAAUUUCUAAUUUAAUGUUAUGUAAUAAUCAUGUAAUAGGAUCUUAGAUCUAAGGAUUCUCUAGUUUUAGAAAAUAAAUUUUGAUUUAUUUUAGUCUUUCGCUGUAUGAUCUUGAAAAAGUUUCAAGAUCUAACCCUGAAACCCU
rnacentral:lncRNA from 1 species